AUGGGUCUCUUCAGAAGGACCCUCACCAACUGUCAGCUUAAGGAGCUGAAGCUGCAGAACCAGAGGUUUACUUGGAGCAACGAAAGGGAGACCCCUACUCUUCUGCGUCUGGAUCGGGCUUUCUGCAACGCUGCUUGGGACCUCAUGUUCGAGAAUCAUGUGCUACAUGCCCUGUCCUUGUCCCUCUCGGACCACUGCCCCCUCCUCCUUUCCAACCAGAGUCGCCCACGAAAAUUGCCUGUCUUUCGCUUUGAAUCCUUCUGGACCAAAAUGUCGGGGGUUCAAGGAGGUGGUCCAACAAGCUUGGUUUGCACCCUCCUCGCACUCUCAGCCGGUCCAUGUUUCAAUCACAAGCUCAAGGCCACGACGCAUGGGCUCAAAUCUUGGAGCAAAGGCCUCUUCUCUGAUGGCAAUCUGCAACUCCUCAUGGCCCUGGAUGUCAUUCUGCAGCUGGACAUUGCUCAAGAGUCUUGCGCACUCUCCCAGGAAGAAAUAUGGCUCUGUGCUAACCUGAAACGUCGGGUUAAGGGUCUCACUGUUCUGGAAAGAUCCCGCAAACGUCAAGCCUCCGGAAUUUGCUACCUCCGCGAGGGCGACGUCAACACCAAUUUUUUUUCAUAUAUGAGUUAA
rnacentral:rRNA from 1 species